UCCUUCCACUCAGUCCCCUGCCAGACACACACAGCAUCCCUUCCCUUCCUCCCUUCCUUCCACUCAGUCCCCUGCCAGACACACACACAGCAUCCCUUCCCUUCACUUUCCUUCCUCCCUUCCUUCCACUCCAUCCCCUGCCAGACACACACAGCAUCCCUUCCCUUCCUCCCUUCCUUCCACUCCAGUCCCCUGCCAGACACACACACAGCAUCCCUUCCCUUCACUUUCCUUCCUCCCUUCCUUCCACUCCAGUCCCCUGCCAGACACACACACAGCAUCCCUUCCCUUCACUUUCCUUCCUCCCUUCCUUCCACUCCAGUCCCCUGCCAGACACACACACAGCAUCCCUUCCCUUCACUUUCCU